rnacentral:rRNA from 1 species
AACGAACGCUGGCGGCAGGCUUAACACAUGCAAGUCGAACGGAUCCUUCGGGAUUAGUGGCAGACGGGUGAGUAACGCGUGGGAACGUACCCUUUGCUACGGAAUAACUCAGGGAAACUUGAGCUAAUACCGUAUGUGCCCUACGGGGGAAAGAUUUAUCGGCAAAGGAUCGGCCCGCGUUGGAUUAGCUAGUUGGUGGGGUAAUGGCCUACCAAGGCGACGAUCCAUAGCUGGUCUGAGAGGAUGAUCAGCCACACUGGGACUGAGACACGGCCCAGACUCCUACGGGAGGCAGCAGUGGGGAAUAUUGGACAAUGGGCGCAAGCCUGAUCCAGCCAUGCCGCGUGAGUGAUGAAGGUCGUAGGAUUGUAAAGCUCUUUCACCGGUGAAGAUAAUGACGGUAGCCGGAGAAGAAGCCCCGGCUAACUUCGUG